rnacentral:rRNA from 1 species
UACGUAGGGUGCGAGCGUUAAUCGGAAUUACUGGGCGUAAAGCGUGCGCAGGCGGUUCGUUGUGUCGGCGGUGAAAGCCCCGGGCUUAACCUGGGAAUGGCCGUCGAAACUGGCGAACUGGAGUGUGGCGGAGGGGGGUGGAAUUCCGCGUGUAGCAGUGAAAUGCGUAGAGAUGCGGAGGAACACCGAUGGCGAAGGCAGCCCCCUGGGCUGACACUGACGCUCAGGCACGAAAGCGUGGGGAGCAAACAGG